rnacentral:misc_RNA from 1 species
AUAAAACAACAUGAGCAUGCAUGUGUAUACAUAUUUGUAACCUUUUCAGUAUUUAAAAUUUAGAAAUUAUUAAAAGGGAAAACAGGAUUAGGACCAACAAGAAGCUCCAGCCGAAGCAAGUCCAAACACUUGAGAUAUUUAAAGCAUUCCAUGUGUGUUUUUCUUAUCAAAUUGCUUGAUUGGCAGAAUGACCAGGAGGGCAUGCUAAAAACCAUCCAGGCAUCCGCUACUGCUCCCAAAGUAUUGAGCCAUCUUCUUCACCCAGUUACGCUCUUCUAACAGGAAGCAUUUAUUGUUAUGAAAUAAUUGAUAUUCAAAUUUCUUCCAUUAAACCCUAAUAAAACAAUAUUAAUUCCUUAAGAAUACCCCAAAAAUAUUGUUCAUGGGUACAGCUCACAGUGCGAAACCUGUCAUGGAUACAGCCCCCAACAUCUGUACUUUCUUACAUUAUUUUGCUUUCUAAUAAUAGUCACUUACAAAACCUAGUUGUUCAUGUGACUUCCUGCUAGUUCUAGCCACCACUGAUAAACAGUCUAAUCUGAAAGGUUUCCUACAUUAUGACAAUUGGCUAAAACUGCUUAGAUCGUUUGCCAUCUGACCAAGACACAUCUGUUUGCCACUUUUCUAAAUAUUGACACAACACAAGAUACAGUGCUUAGCAGGGUUAUCAUUAAGAAAUAACCUUCAUUACA